GUAGGAGUAGCUUAAAUUCAAAAGCAUUACACUGAAGCUGUACUUAUAGGUAAUACCUCUCCAAC
rnacentral:tRNA from 1 species